rnacentral:rRNA from 1 species
AUUGAACGCUGGCGGCGGGCCUAACACAUGCAAGUCGAGCGGACGAACGGGGCUCUCUCCUGUCUUACGCGACGGGCGGGUGGGUGAUGCCUAGGAGUCUACCUUGUCGUGGGGGCUAACGUAAGGUCGCGGGCGCGGAUACAGCAUACGUCCUGAUGUUGAACGUGAGGGAUCAUUGGACAACAAGCGAUCUGAUGAGCCUUGGUCGGAUUAGCUAGUUGGUGGGGUAAAGGCCUACCAAGGCGACGAUCCGUAACUGCGCUGAGAGGCUGAUCAGUCACACUGGAACUGAGACACGGUCCAGACUCCUACGGGAGGCAGCAGUGGGGAAUAUUCGACAAUGGGCGAAAGCCUGACGCAGCCAUGCCGCGUGUGUGAUGAAGGUCUUCGGAUUGUAAAGCACUGUAAGUUGGGAGGAAGGACAGUAAGUUUAUAUCUGGCUGUUUUGACGUUACCAACAGAAAAAGCAACGGCUAACUUCGUG